ensembl:lncRNA
CCAUCGCUAGGCAACAACACAAGUCGGCAGUGGGCACUGCCAGCUCUCUUCAUGAGAGCCCCAUCAUCAUCGCUCCUGCAUUGCAUCCCACUGGGUGAGUCAGCGGACGCCACGUCACAGUCGCCUGCCAGCCGCCAGUACAACAGGAGAACAGCAGUGAGGCCGCGGCGCGAGAGAUGAGGGUCGAAGCUCACAUGUUUUUCAUGGAUUUAGAGAUGCUUGACAAGGUGUAGUGAUUUUCAUGGACCAGCUUUUCUGCCGGAACAUGAUUAGACAAAGCGGGUGGAAAUGCCUGCGGGUUGGGAGAGACCCCGUCCACAUGACAAUGGUGAGUUUGUCUGAAGCGUUUUGUUGUGUUUUUUUUUCCGCCCUUUCGUCCACACGAUAACAGCAUUUUACAACGCUGUGUAGACAGUGGAAUACUGAACCUUUUGAAAAAGAUGACGACAUGAGCCCAACUUUAUCCAAUCACGUUUCAAUCUCUGCUUCAGCUUCACUCUGAGAUCCGCCCUCCAAAACCUUCACCACAUCCUCAGUUGCAAUAAAUAGAAAAUGUAUUUUUGAUUGUCAGAAACAACAUGGUAAUCAGACAAUCUGUACUAUUUCUUUGAAGAGGAUGUAAUCCAUCGGAAACAUCAGCAGCCAAAGCCUUGCGUGGGUUUGUUUGAUAUAACGUGACUAUAUGCCAGCGACUUUAAUCAGAGUAAGUUCACUUCACUGGGGAAGUUCUUUUUGCCCAAACCACGUUGUUCUCUCUGUUCAUUCUGUGGAAAUAAAGACAGCCCCUCAGAAAAACCCGACACAUCUUCUGGGAGUGGGAGGACGAUUCUCAGCUUCAUAACAUCAGCCAGACCCGUCGCUGUGGAAUUUCAGCCUCACUGGUUUAAAAACAGAUCUCCAUCUCUGCCUCACUCCUGACAGGCUGGCUGUGAGGGCACCCCAAUCUCUCACCCCCACCCACCUCACCUUCACUUCUCCACCCCUGCCCUGCGUCUAUUUCAAACCAGAGAAGAUUCAUAAGCUUGUACCUCUGUGAGACAGAGAUAUUACAUCAAAAACCUGAGGUAAGCAGAAAGAAAAAAAUGACUGUGAAUCCCAUAUGAGGCGAUUUCAAUAAUUCAAAAGAGUUGGGGAGGGGGGGGGGAGUAGGUUGGUCAGAGGUGUCCGCUCUCUCUCCCCCGGGGCCUUCACUGUAAUAAGUCAGCGAGUGAGCGAAUGUGGUUUGAAUACCCAGAAUCCCACGCAAGUCAGGC